AUUUAAAUAAAAAGUGUAGUCACCAAUUCAGCAUAGGAUACAAAUAACAUCCUUAUGUUUGUAUCCUAUGCUGAAGUGGUGACUACACUUUUUAUUUAAAUA